CAGCACAUAACAGCUGGGUGCACGAUGCUAGUAUGCAGGGAAUGUCACAGAAAACAUGAAAAGAAAAAAAUUAAGGCAACCGAUUGCCGUAAGUACUUGCAUUAAGUACAUUUAUUCAGUUCAAUGGUAUUUUCUUGGCCUCCAAAAGUCAUCGUAGAUUUGGAUGAAAGGUAAGAGGGAAGAAAAGAGAAAAAAAAGAAAGAAAACAAAGUAUGCUAAUGCUAGAAUUCAAAAUCUCAGUUUGAGGCUCCUGUCCUUUAUAAUUGCUAAUAUAGAGCCAACAGUCUACUAAUUAUGUAUGCAAAAAACAAAAAACAAAGUAGUUUUAAAACAGGCUUGCAAAAAUAAUAGUUUUGCUGAUGCCUAAAUAAUCCAAAUAUUCAAACUGGCUUUUUUGCUAUGACUCUGCUUUUAGUAGUUUAAACAUAUUUGUGAAUGUUUACUUAACAGUUUACACAGAUUUUAGUUAUAUUCGUCUUUCUGUUAUUUUAUCAUUACUUCUCAUGAACAAAUCGGAAUUUAGCUUGCUUUGCGCCUGUUCAACUCUUUAGAAACAAAAAACUACAUUCACAGUGAGAUGUUAAUUACGGCUAGAUUUCAAGCGCAAAACGUAAAAGUAACUACCGUAUGUCUGUCCGGGCUCGUGGUAGGCGGGACUGUGUUGCCAUGACAAUGACGUCAAUGUUGGUGUCGAGUAACCAAAGGUCAAAAUAAAGACAAGUGAAUGAAAACGGAAGGAAACUAAACAGGCUUCCUAGAAUAGCACAGAACAGUACCAGGUUGACUCAAAAUACAAACUAAUUUCCUGCACUGGAUGCUGUCGUGUCGUUCGUCCGGGAAUAAUCGUUUUAUAUACCGGAGCAACUAAACUGUACGCGGAUAUACAUCUGGUCAGCAUUCGCCUCAGACAGUAUCUACAUUUUCAUAGCUCCCUGAUUGCUCAAAAGGAAAACCAGUGUGGCCACUAUAACCUUCUGACCUUAACUCUAUUAAGGACCUGGGCUGGCAUCUUCAGAUCAAAUGUAAAGGGGAAACUGGAUAUUGGCUACAAUAAUACUAACUGUUCAGUGUUUCACUUCAGAACACAUUUUUGAUCAUUGUUUCAGUUUUCUAUCUCCAGUGUGAUUUGAUUGGCUCUGUAUUUUGAAAGCAUGCUGUUAGAAGUCAAAAUGGAACUGUCCACCUACUGUUCUCCAAUCUUAAAAAGGGGACUUUGAGUAGAGAUGGUCACCACCCUCCAAAAACAAACAAGAUAAAGAGAGAGAGAGAGAGAGAGAGAUCAGUUAAAUCAGCUGAUGAAUUGGGUACAUUGAUUUGUAAAACAUGAGUUUUUCAUACAGCUUAGUGUUGCUCUGUCGCACCACCCUUGUGUUGGACAAUAUUUUAAUACUGUAUACAUGCUUUUGUGGCAAAACAGUAAACUUGUGAACUUCCUUAUCUGUCAUGUAAAGGAACAGUAAAGCAUUUAAGGCUCCCUUUUUUUCUUUUUUCUUUUUUCUUUUUUUUCCCCCCCUCACAUAAAAAUUAACAUUGCUGUUUAAAAAAAUGAAGAAAAAAAUACGCUUUUUUUUGGGACCACUGCUGCAGCGUUUCAUACAUGUACAGGAGAAUAAAAAUGAUCAGCGUGCUUGUAAGGAAAAUAUGAGGAAUCUAAUGACGAUUGACCUUUUAGUACACAGUGUCAUUGCACUGUAACUGUGUUCACCACUAGAUGUUAGGUUUGUGCUUCUAUUCAAUCAGCAGUCUAAUUCUACAACUCACUGGUGACGAUAAUGAUAACUUGGCUGUUUCCUUUUCCUGGUUCCCACAGUAUAUUAAAUACAUUGCUAUAUGAGUAGUUUUAAACAUAACAUGUUCAAAUAGUGCAAGCUAUAAUGAAAAUAUUGGCAGAUUUCAAACAUAGUGACAACAGAUCAACAGAUAUUUACUUCCAAAGGCUGAGAAUAGAAAGUGAGUCAAAAUCUUAAUUUUAGACUUGUUACAGCUAGACUUAAAGUCUAGCUAAAGAGCAAACUUAAUGGUUGCGAUACUGUAUUCUUGAUCACUCAUACUCGCUCUUUUACAUGGUUCAAUCCUUUGUUCCCCCUCAGGUGUCCCAUCUGCCUCUCUUCUGUCCAGUCCACAAAGGCUUUUGCAUUACUGAAAUUCUAAGUUACAUUCUUUGACCUAAAUCCAUUUACAUUGUUCCAAAUGCACAUGCAAUGCUCAUGAAAAACUGUAGGUGGCAGAACUUAACCAUAAGUAAAGCACAGUUGCAAGUGCUGUUCAGCUAUAUUUGAUGGACCAAGAAAGUAUCGUACUUGGUUUGCAGCUCUUUUACACCACAGUUGUACUUUGACAACCUGUAGGUAUAAUGAAGGCCUGGUGAGGUAGUAUUUCUUUUUUCCCUGUAAAAACCUGACUUGUCAACCACCUUUUCUAGUGAAUAUACUUUUAAAUACAAUUACAAUGUAAAUUUGAUAUAAAUGACAUUGAAAAUACACUUAGUUACAGCUGUGUUAUAAUGUAUUACCUAAUAUUCUAAUGACACUACAGGACACCAACAGAAUCCUCCAAGUAACCUAGAAGAUAAUAUAAUAGGGUCAAUAUCCAUGGGUACAUUUACAAGUGUAAAUGGCCUGUAUUUGUAUAGCACUUUACAGUGUACAAUCUUAAAAAUGCCCUGCCAAGGUAGCUCUGUAGCUGGCACGGAGUUUAGCUGAAAACAAAUGUCCUUGCAUGAUUCACCUGUGUGCUCCAUCCCCCACAAAGAAGUAGCACACCGUUUUUGGCUGUGUGUUGACAGCCAUCAUCUCAGAAUUCCUCAGUUUAAACAAGGACACGUAUUGAUUCAAGAUCACACACCGAAAGAGGAUUGUUUUGGUUGUAGUUAAGGGCAGGGUUCAGCAGUUUUUGUGAGAACAUGCACAUGGAUAAGAGAGAGAGAAAAAAACAAAACAGGAAAGACCAGAGAAUGCACGUAUGGGUAUUUGUACUAUAGUCACACGUGUUAUUACAUUCAUGCAAACUAGAACAGUGUGUUCUAACUUUGACAUUUACAGUUUAAACUCUGAUGAAAGGCAUGUUUUUUUUAAGGAGUGGCCAAAAUAUUUCAAUAAUACUCUACUUUCUACUUGGAGCAAUGCAAAUCAAUGGUUCGAAAUCAGUCAGCAUGAUGAGGGAGUUUCUACUGUCAAAGGAACACAUCUAAAAAUGUUUGAGAGGCAGACAUGCAUCAGUACAUUUCAGGAGUGAAAACUACUGUAAAAAAAAAACUAAAUCUGAUAAGGACUGUGUUAGGGCUUGUUGAGCAUGCAGGUUUCAUCCAGAGAAGAACUGGUUUAUAUAUUUUUUAAAAUCACUAAAAGAAACCAAGAAACUUGUGUAUAUCUGAGUUUGCAAGCUGGAUGUAGGAAAAUUAUGUUAGCUAAUUAUUUGCUGAAUAAAGUAAAUUGUUAAACUACAGUUACAUUAUUUCCUGUGUUGCUUUGUUGAAAGACCUGAAAUGGAUUCACACAUAAUUACGGAUUAGUGACGGGUAAUGGAUUGUCACAUAAAUCCCACACAUCAACACAAAUGCCCGUCCUCAUGAGAAAACUGGUCGCAGCAGAUGGCCGCCCCUCUCUGAGCCUGGUUCUGCCGGAGGUUUCUUCCUGUUAAAAGGGAGUUUUUCCUUCC